AUUGAACGCUGGCGGCAGGCCUAACACAUGCAAGUCGAGCGGAUGAAGGGAGCUUGCUCCUGGAUUCAGCGGCGGACGGGUGAGUAAUGCCUAGGAAUCUGCCUGGUAGUGGGGGAUAACGUCCGGAAACGGGCGCUAAUACCGCAUACGUCCUGCGGGAGAAAGUGGGGGAUCUUCGGACCUCACGCUAUCAGAUGAGCCUAGGUCGGAUUAGCUAGUUGGUGGGGUAAAGGCCUACCAAGGCGACGAUCCGUAACUGGUCUGAGAGGAUGAUCAGUCACACUGGAACUGAGACACGGUCCAGACUCCUACGGGAGGCAGCAGUGGGGAAUAUUGGACAAUGGGCGAAAGCCUGAUCCAGACAUGCCGCGUGGGUGAAGAAGGUCUUCGGAUUGUAAAGCACUUUAAGUUGGGAGGAAGGGCAGUAAGUUAAUACCUUGCUGGUUUGACGUUACCAACAGAAUAAGCACCGGCUAACUUCGUG
rnacentral:rRNA from 1 species